GAUAAACGCUGGCGGCGUGCCUAAUACAUGCAAGUCGAGCGAACGGACGAGAAGCUUGCUUCUCUGAUGUUAGCGGCGGACGGGUGAGUAACACGUGGAUAACCUACCUAUAAGACUGGGAUAACUUCGGGAAACCGGAGCUAAUACCGGAUAAUAUUUUGAACCGCAUGGUUCAAAAGUGAAAGACGGUCUUGCUGUCACUUAUAGAUGGAUCCGCGCUGCAUUAGCUAGUUGGUAAGGUAACGGCUUACCAAGGCAACGAUGCAUAGCCGACCUGAGAGGGUGAUCGGCCACACUGGAACUGAGACACGGUCCAGACUCCUACGGGAGGCAGCAGUAGGGAAUCUUCCGCAAUGGGCGAAAGCCUGACGGAGCAACGCCGCGUGAGUGAUGAAGGUCUUCGGAUCGUAAAACUCUGUUAUUAGGGAAGAACAUAUGUGUAAGUAACUGUGCACAUCUUGACGGUACCUAAUCAGAAAGCCACGGCUAACUACGUGCCAGCAGCCGCGGUAAUACGUAGGUGGCAAGCGUUAUCCGGAAUUAUUGGGCGUAAAGCGCGCGUAGGCGGUUUUUUAAGUCUGAUGUGAAAGCCCACGGCUCAACCGUGGAGGGUCAUUGGAAACUGGAAAACUUGAGUGCAGAAGAGGAAAGUGGAAUUCCAUGUGUAGCGGUGAAAUGCGCAGAGAUAUGGAGGAACACCAGUGGCGAAGGCGACUUUCUGGUCUGUAACUGACGCUGAUGUGCGAAAGCGUGGGGAUCAAACAGGAUUAGAUACCCUGGUAGUCCACGCCGUAAACGAUGAGUGCUAAGUGUUAGGGGGUUUCCGCCCCUUAGUGCUGCAGCUAACGCAUUAAGCACUCCGCCUGGGGAGUACGACCGCAAGGUUGAAACUCAAAGGAAUUGACGGGGACCCGCACAAGCGGUGGAGCAUGUGGUUUAAUUCGAAGCAACGCGAAGAACCUUACCAAAUCUUGACAUCCUUUGACAACUCUAGAGAUAGAGCCUUCCCCUUCGGGGGACAAAGUGACAGGUGGUGCAUGGUUGUCGUCAGCUCGUGUCGUGAGAUGUUGGGUUAAGUCCCGCAACGAGCGCAACCCUUAAGCUUAGUUGCCAUCAUUAAGUUGGGCACUCUAAGUUGACUGCCGGUGACAAACCGGAGGAAGGUGGGGAUGACGUCAAAUCAUCAUGCCCCUUAUGAUUUGGGCUACACACGUGCUACAAUGGACAAUACAAAGGGCAGCGAAACCGCGAGGUCAAGCAAAUCCCAUAAAGUUGUUCUCAGUUCGGAUUGUAGUCUGCAACUCGACUACAUGAAGCUGGAAUCGCUAGUAAUCGUAGAUCAGCAUGCUACGGUGAAUACAACGCCGGGUC
rnacentral:rRNA from 1 species